rnacentral:rRNA from 1 species
UACAGAGGUCUCGAGCGUUGUUCGGAUUCAUUGGGCGUAAAGGGUGCGUAGGCGGCGGGGUAAGUCUGAUGUGAAAUCCCGGGGCUCAACCCUGGAACUGCACUGGAUACUGCCUUGCUAGAAAGCUGGAGAGGAAACUGGAAUUUACGGUGUAGCAGUGAAAUGCGUAGAGAUCGUAAGGAAGACCAGUGGCGAAGGCGGCCUGCUGGGCAGUUUAGCUGACACUGAGGCGCGACAGCGUGGGGAGCAAACAGG